rnacentral:rRNA from 1 species
UACGAAGGGGGCUAGCGUUGCUCGGAAUCACUGGGCGUAAAGCGCACGUAGGCGGCUUUUUAAGUCAGGGGUGAAAUCCUGGAGCUCAACUCCAGAACUGCCUUUGAUACUGAGAAGCUUGAGUCCGGGAGAGGUGAGUGGAACUGCGAGUGUAGAGGUGAAAUUCGUAGAUAUUGGGAAGAACACCGGUGGCGAAGGCGGCGACCUGGGCCAAUACUGACGCUGAGGUGCGAAAGCGUGGGGAGCAAACAGG